AGAACGAACGCUGGCGGCAUGCCUAACACAUGCAAGUCGAACGAGACCUUCGGGUCUAGUGGCGCACGGGUGCGUAACGCGUGGGAAUCUGCCCUUGGGUCCGGAAUAACAGUUAGAAAUGACUGCUAAUACCGGAUGAUGUCUUCGGACCAAAGAUUUAUCGCCCAGGGAUGAGCCCGCGUAGGAUUAGCUUGUUGGUGAGGUAAAGGCUCACCAAGGCGACGAUCCUUAGCUGGUCUGAGAGGAUGAUCAGCCACACUGGGACUGAGACACGGCCCAGACUCCUACGGGAGGCAGCAGUGGGGAAUAUUGGACAAUGGGCGAAAGCCUGAUCCAGCAAUGCCGCGUGAGUGAUGAAGGCCUUAGGGUUGUAAAGCUCUUUUGCCAGGGAUGAUAAUGACAGUACCUGGAGAAUAAGCUCCGGCUAACUCCGUGCCAGCAGCCGC
rnacentral:rRNA from 1 species